rnacentral:piRNA from 1 species
UAAGCUUGAUGCUUCGGACCAGUAUGGUGUU